GUUUUUGCUCAGAUUGAACGCUGGCGGCAGGCCUAACACAUGCAAGUCGAACGGUAACAGAAAGAAGCUUGCUUCUUUGCUGACGAGUGGCGGACGGGUGAGUAAUGUCUGGGAAACUGCCUGAUGGAGGGGGAUAACUACUGGAAACGGUAGCUAAUACCGCAUAACGUCGCAAGACCAAAGAGGGGGACCUUCGGGCCUCUUGCCAUCGGAUGUGCCCAGAUGGGAUUAGCUUGUUGGUGGGGUAACGGCUCACCAAGGCGACGAUCCCUAGCUGGUCUGAGAGGAUGACCAGCCACACUGGAACUGAGACACGGUCCAGACUCCUACGGGAGGCAGCAGUGGGGAAUAUUGCACAAUGGGCGCAAGCCUGAUGCAGCCAUGCCGCGUGUAUGAAGAAGGCCUUCGGGUUGUAAAGUACUUUCAGCGGGGAGGG
rnacentral:rRNA from 1 species